rnacentral:siRNA from 1 species
UAGGACCUUAGAUAAACUCGUAAC